UUCUCUUCUAUAAAACCCAAACACCCAUUUGGUUCUUCUCAGCUUCUCUUCUCUUUAACCUAAAUGAGGCGUGGAUGCAUACUAGAAGGUGAAUUGUAUUCUUUGGAGGUCCAGUUCAGAGCCUCCAGAUCAGCUGUACGAUAAUGCUCCUCGUUCCACCCACUGGUCUGAGAAAGUCACCUCUACCUUGACAAGCAUGGCCAGACGAAAGGCUUCACCGAUCUCUUCAUCCACUUUUCCCCUGCGGAUGCUGAGAUCGAGCUUGGCUGUUCUUAAUCUUGUGAGUGAUUUUCAUUAAACCCACAACUACACAUAUCUGGUAUCUCUAAUCGUAAAUCUUUUUUCUCUAGGUAAAAUAAUUCAGUAAGAUGGGGUUGAGAAUUUUCCUAAUUACCUGUAAAAUUGUGGGCAACUUAGUAGAGUCGUACAUAUUUAUAUUUUCUUGUUUUGGUUAAUAGUAUUGAAAAGAAUGUUGCUGGAACUAGGUUCUGGAUAAUUGUGAAUGUUUUGUUUCCCCUAUAACAGUAAUAGGAGUAAGUAGAAGUGAUUCAUAACUACAGACCGUCUUGAGCUUGAAUUUCUACGGUAUUUGCCUUUA